CUCCAUUCCAUCUUCGCCCAUCGAGAGUAGGUCAGUGAGGACGGCGGGUCAUUGCGAGAGAGGGUGGUGCGAGGUGUAAUGAAGUGGAACAUUGAUCUCGGAGUCUUAUACCAAACCACAAAAAGUCUACUAAGCAGUCUAAACAGAUCAUGUUUUUCUGGGUCCCUUAUAAGACAUUGCUCAAUCACGGUUAUCAUCCAAAAUAGUUGGUACAAGUCAUGGCAAUCAAGAAUCCUUUCAUCAAUCAGUUCAGGGUAGUUCCUCUCAUGCAGAAGUGGUCUUGCCUGCAGAGAAGGAAACACAUAAUUGAGGAUAAUAUAUAGAUGCAAAGAUAGUUCAAACCUUUUGCAACUCCAAUAGCUAUCUUCAGCCUUUGUCCCCAAGUCAAAAGGGAUGAACUGUUUUCUGCAUGAAAUUGACCAAAAAAAGUGUCCUUAAACUUCGAAGAAGAAAGGCUCUAGGUUAAGCUUUCUUUCAGCAUAAAAUUCCAAUAAGGUUUUGUUCUUCUAGAGUAUAUUUUUUUAUUAUAUUGGUAUGAAUGCUACAAUCUAGUUGAGCAGGUUUGGAAAAUCCACUAGCAUUUCUUUGCUAUGAGACAUACUCAUAGACAAGCAACCUGUGAUUUCUUUCUGAGCAUGAACGAAUAACAUGACGAAAAAAAAGUGUCUUAAACUUUGAAGAAGAAAGGCUCUAGGGCACAUUCAGAUUUUGGAUAUUCUCUCCAAAAAAAAGAAUUAUCCACGUUGCCUUCAGCUUACUGACAGCUUCAAGGGCAGCUACUUUCGGUGAAGAUGCCGCAACAACACUUAUGUUGAAUGCAAUCUAGCAUUUCCAACAAUUAGCCAGUGUUACCUUCUUGGAUUCAAAUAGCUCACGGAUGGGCAAUAACUCUGCACUUCUCUGGUAUUCUUCCUCCUUCCUUGCAACUUCCUCGCUGAUGAUCCUAGUGUUUGUCGCCAACACAGAGUUGGAAUCUAUCUUGCUUCUGUAGCCCACUGAAACCAAUUGCUCUAAGAUGGAAAAAUAACGUACUAGGGGUGUUAACAUGGUGAAGAACUCCAAGGAGAGUGAGUUCAUCCCCGAGUUUAAGGGAAAGACCAUCAAUGGCCCAUUUGAUUGCGCUGGAACUUAAAUCUUUUGAUGCGUCCUGGAUCACCACCACCCUUUGAGGUGCAGUGGGCAUGCCGCCACCACCAGUUGCCGAAGAACUUGUCAUCAAAGAACAGCUUGACUACCGAUGAAGAUGAACAAAGUAGCAAAACAAUCCUUAUUUCCUAACAAAGCCGGCAGCAUGCUGUACACACAAUUUCUAAGGUUGCCAGUAGGGGAUGGUUUCUGUUACGUACAGAAGAGCGGACUUAGUCAUCGAGCGGGCAGAUCAGCCGAGCUGUAGGUCUGUGUUGCAGAGCGACUUGAGCAGGUCUGCAAAGCGGUCUUGACAGAGCGGUCUUGACAGAGCAAUCUUGACAGAGCAGGUCUUGUGAUGUGAGCUCAGAAGAGGUAUUGAAGGGAAUUGGGGGACCCAUGACGAAAUCCAAGACUAAGAGAAUGAAGCAAGCUUUCGAAGGCUUAAUAAUGGGGCUCAAGGAA